rnacentral:sRNA from 1 species
AGCUUACUAGCUAAAGCCCCUAAAUGACCCGCUUAAUGAUAAAGGAGGUAGGGGUGCAGAGAGAGCUAAAUAUUUUCCUAGAAGUAGCCACUUUUGAAAGAGUGCGUUAUAGCUCACUGAUCAAGCGCUCUUGCAUCGAAUAUUGAUGGGGCUAAGCAAUUUGUAGAAGCUGUGGGAUGUAAAAAAUGCAUCAGUAGGGGAGAGAGAAGCAUGCGCGCGAGCGGCAGUGGACGAAGCGGAAGCCAAAAUGUUGGCUUAAGUAACGCAAACAUUAGUGAGAAUCCAAUGCCUCGAAAACAUAAGGGUUCCUCCACAAGGUUUCUCCAUAGAGGGUGAGUCAAGUCCUAAGAUCAGGCUGAAAGGCGUAGUGGAUGGACAACAGGUGAAUAUUCCUGUAUUACCCUUGUUGGUCCAGAGGGACGGAAGAGGCUAGGUUAGCUGUAGCUAUAUCUUAUCCCUACUUCCUUGCCCGAGUGGAGUUGAUAUACCUGGACCACAUCGAGUGGUACCUGGGUGAGAGAGUGUUAUAGCAGUUUGUGAUUUA